CGUGCUAAUAUCUGUGUAUAGAAUAUGUUAACCUUGCUUUUUAUAUGCCUGUUAUGUAUUAUAUUUAUUGGUAUACUUAUUAACUAGUCAUUAGCUCCUUGUUUAUUGUCAAAUGUGUUAAGAAUUCCUCAUCUAUUAAGUGGCUUGUAUAAAGAAUACAAAAAGUUCGUUUAUGCAGUUGUGGAAAAUCCUUUUGUUAUCAUGGUACAAGUAUUUCAGACAUGACUUCAAGAAAAAUCUUUAGAAAUGGACUUCUUUAUACAUAUGUUUUUUAAUAGCUGGAUGUAAUGAAAUAAACUAUAGAAGCUACAUAAGUUCAUCCAGCUAUCGCAUUCAUUAUAUUUGCAACAUUGCUGCUUGACGAAGAUGAAAGUAAUAGGAGAAAAAUAUUGGAUACAGAAGAGUCUACAAUUACGAAAGACUGAAGGUCGCAAUAGUGAAUUCUACCCAUUGGAUUGCGAUCUCAUCUCCUUACUUAGCUCUGCCUCCAUAGGGAGGAGCUUCAAUCCUUUGGCUGCCGGUGAUAGAUCGAUCGAUGCAUCUAACAAAUAUUCCUCCUCGUCAUUGUAGUGUUCUAUUCGAGGCGUGUGGGCGAUGUUUUUCUGCCUCAGCAGAGAUGAUUUGAUCAAAUGAGCUUUGGCGGCUUCUCUAAGGUUGCCAUCCGUCUACUAGACCUUUUGAGGAGGCCAUUCUCUCUAGGUGCGCCAGCUGCAUUGUUAGCGGAGCAGGCGUGGGCAGCUACCUGCUCGCAUUCACGAUUGUCCGAUAAGUAAAAUCUUUUCUGAAAAUUCGUCGAUUCUCAUAUAAUAUAUAUAAUAUAAUGUAAUGCGAU